AUACGGAGGGUGCAAGCGUUAAUCGGAAUUACUGGGCGUAAAGCGCGCGUAGGCGGUUUGAUCAGUCGGAUGUGAAAGCCCUGGGCUCAACCUGGGAACUGCAUUCGAUACUGUCAGACUAGAAUAUGGUAGAGGGUAGUGGAAUUCCUGGUGUAGCGGUGAAAUGCGUAGAUAUCAGGAGGAACAUCAGUGGCGAAGGCGGCUACCUGGACCAAUAUUGACGCUGAGGUGCGAAAGCGUGGGGAGCGAACAGGAUUAGAAACCCUAGUAGUCC
rnacentral:rRNA from 1 species